GUUUGUUGAAAAGUUUAUUUUAUAUGAAGCACUAUACUAUUACUAUUGUGUGUAUUUUAGUUAUUUAUAUAUAUUUAUUUAGAAAAUGUUUGCAUACCCUUAAUUUUAAUGAAAACAUGGGUGAGCAGGAAAAACACAUUCAUAUUCAGCUGUAGGUUAUACCAGAAUGGCACAAUCAUAAAAUAUGGUAACAAAGAAAACCAUUAAAUGACCCCUGUUCAGAAGUCUGCAUGCCCUUAGUUCUUAAUACUGUGUAAUGCUCCCUUUAGCAUCAAUGAUAGCAUGCAGUCUUUUGUAAUAUUUGUCUAUGAGCCCCCUAAUUCUUGCAGGUGGGAUAGUUGCCUAUUCGUUUUGGCAAAAUGCUUUCAGGUCAUGCAAAGUCUUUGGUCAUCUUCCAUGAACGACACGUUUGAGAUCUCCCUAGAGUAGAGAUCAGGAGAUUGUGAUGGCCACUCCCGAAUUUUCACCUUUUUCUGCUGUAACCACUGGAGGGUCAACUUGGCCUUGUGUUUAGGGUUAUUGUCAUGCUGGUCCAAGAGCAUCCUAUGCGUACUCUUAGUGCAGAAGAAUGCAAAUUGUCUGCCAAGAUUCCCUGUGCCUUUAGAGCUCACACAUACCCAAAACAUCAGUGACCCACCACCAUGCCUCCCUUCCCUAUAGGCUUUGUUAACCCCUCUCCAAACAUAACGCUUAUGGUUGUGACCAUAAAGCUCUAUUUUGGUCUCGUCACUUCAAAUUACAGUGUGCAAGAAGCUGUGAGGUAUGUCAUGGUGGUGUUGGGCAUAAUAUCCCCAGGAUUUUUUUUUUUAUAUACACAUUUUUAUUUUUGCAGUGCAUAGAAAUGGUACAAGCAGGCCUGAAGUGCCCCAAAAGCACUCCUCAG